rnacentral:tRNA from 1 species
GCGAUUAGCUCAGCGGGAGAGCGCUUCCCUGACACGGAAGAGGUCACUGGUUCAAUCCCAGUAUCGCGCACG